CCCCUCUAAUCGGAGGUGAUUCACAUCAAGAGAGAACAGGCAACUUCUCUAGCAAGUGAGAGGAGACAGAACACGUCAGGGAUGUGGAGACAGGAUAAUGAAAUGAUCUGCAAAACAGGGUAUUUGCUAUUGCCUUUAUGCAAAAGAAGAGGAUGGAAUCAGCUAUCUGUGAAAGGAAUCCUCUUUUCUGGAUUCCACUAUGGAAAUCUGGACUCUGAAUGAUGACCCAAGAUGCACUAUGUUACUAAUGUCUCAUCAAUAGAGCCCCAUUGCAAACUGGAGAGGGCCAAUACACAGAAAGGCAAGUGUUGUCUUCUUACAACAGUGUGUUGUUAAGAACAUAAGAACUGUCAUAGUGGGUCAG